rnacentral:ncRNA from 2 species
UACGGAGGGUGCAAGCGUUGUCCGGAUUUAUUGGGUUUAAAGGGUGCGUAGGCGGAUGAUUAAGUCAGUGGUGAAAGCCCACAGCUCAACUGUGGAACUGCCAUUGAUACUGGUUAUCUUGAGUAUAGUUGAGGCAGGCGGAAUUUACGAUGUAGCGGUGAAAUGCAUAGAUAUCGUAAAGAACACCUAUAGCGAAGGCAGCUUGCUAAACUAUAACUGACGCUGAGGCACGAAAGCAUGGGUAGCGAACAGG